rnacentral:rRNA from 1 species
CGGCUUCGGCUGUCACUUAUGGAUGGACCCGCGUCGCAUUAGCUAGUUGGUGAGGUAACGGCUCACCAAGGCAACGAUGCGUAGCCGACCUGAGAGGGUGAUCGGCCACACUGGGACUGAGACACGGCCCAGACUCCUACGGGAGGCAGCAGUAGGGAAUCUUCCGCAAUGGACGAAAGUCUGACGGAGCAACGCCGCGUGAGUGAUGAAGGCUUUCGGGUCGUAAAACUCUGUUGUUAGGGAAGAACAAGUGCUAGUUGAAUAAGCUGGCACCUUGACGGUACCUAACCAGAAAGCCACGGCUAACUACGUGCCAGCAGCCGCGGUAAUACGUAGGUGGCAAGCGUUAUCCGGAAUUAUUGGGCGUAAAGCGCGCGCAGGUGGUUUCUUAAGUCUGAUGUGAAAGCCCACGGCUCAACCGUG